rnacentral:rRNA from 1 species
GACGAACGCUGGCGGCGUGCUUAACACAUGCAAGUCGAACGAAGUGGCGAACGGGUGAGUAAUGCCUAGGAAUCUGCCUGGUAGUGGGGGAUAACGUCCGGAAACGGGCGCUAAUACCGCAUGCUAUCAGAUGAGCCUCGGUCGGAUUAGCUAGUUGGGGGGGUAAAGGCCUACCAAGGCGACGCUCCGUAACUGGUCUGAGAGGAUGAUCAGGCACACUGGAACUGAGACACGGUCCAGACUCCUACGGGAGGCAGCAGGGGGGAAUAUUGGACAAUGGGCGAAAGCCUGAUCCAGCCAUGCCGCGUGUGUGAAGAAGGUCUUCGGAUUGUAAAGCACUUUAAGUUGGGAGGCGUUACCAACAGAAUAAGCACCGGCUAACUUCGUGCCAGCAGCCGCGGUAAUUC